rnacentral:lncRNA from 1 species
AAAACUCGUACCCAGUCAACCUCAGAGUCACCAACAAUACGUGUCGGCCCGGCCCGGGUGGCCGCCUCCCCUCCUCCCCAGCGACGGUGGUCGCCCGCAGCCACCAGCCGGGAGUCCGCAGAGGGCUCGGGGCUGCCUGCCGCCCCUCCCGGACGGCGCCGUCCGCCCGGGAGGAUCAAAGUCCGCAGAGCAGGGCGCGGCGGAUGCUCCCACUGAGCAGCCCCGAACGGGCAGCCCCCCGCGCCUGCACCCCGGGUGGGCACCCCCGGAUACCUUGCGGCGGCGGGCGGGCUCCGUCAUCUCCGUGCUUCCCGACCGGAGAGAGACUAGAAAUUUCUCUCCCAGGUUGGUCCUUCCCACCAGCGCAGCGACUUUGGAGCGUGCUUCUCUUCUGACAAACGCAAGGGCCCAACGCAUUUGUCACUUUGCCUUCUCACUUUGCCAACAAAUGAUGCUUCGGUGGAGGCUGCCUGCCCGAGAGGGGCCUAAGGAUGGCGCCUACCUCCACCUUGUCCCCACCCCGCGACGGAAUGGCUGGUGCUGUGUCAUCCACGUCUCCCUUCAAGGCGUCAGGGAAGCCACAUGCAAUAUCUCUUUCUUUCAGAGGGCUCCUGUUUCAACUCUGAAAAAGCACGGGUCCUUCUGAGAGCCUCAAUCCAUCCCCGGGGCUCCUGGAGCCACCACACUGCCUUGGCCCGAGUUAUCACAGAACCCAGAGAAAC